UACGGGGGGAGCAAGCGUUGUUCGGAUUUACUGGGCGUAAAGGGCGCGUAGGCGGCCACCGCAAGUCGACUGUGAAAUCUCCGGGCUUAACCCGGAAAGGUCAGCCGAUACUGCGGGGCUAGAGUGCAGAAGGGGCAACUGGAAUUCUCGGUGUAGCGGUGAAAUGCGUAGAUAUCUGGAGGAACACCGGUGGCGAAGGCGGCAUCCUGGACCGACACUGACGCUCAGGCACGAAAGCGUGGGGAGCAAAAGGG
rnacentral:rRNA from 1 species